UAGGGAAUCUUCCACAAUGGGCGCAAGCCUGAUGGAGCAACACCGCGUGAGUGAAGAAGGGUUUCGGCUCGUAAAGCUCUGUUGUUAAAGAAGAACACGUAUGAGAGUAACUGUUCAUACGUUGACGGUUAUUUAACCAGAAAGUCACGGCUAACUACGUGCCAC
rnacentral:rRNA from 1 species